rnacentral:rRNA from 1 species
AGUGAACGCUGGCGGUAGGCCUAACACAUGCAAGUCGAACGGCAGCACAGUAAGAGCUUGCUCUUACGGGUGGCGAGUGGCGGACGGGUGAGGAAUACAUCGGAAUCUACUUUUUCGUGGGGGAUAACGUAGGGAAACUUACGCUAAUACCGCAUACGACCUACGGGUGAAAGCAGGGGAUCUUCGGACCUUGCGCGAUUGAAUGAGCCGAUGUCGGAUUAGCUAGUUGGCGGGGUAAAGGCCCACCAAGGCGACGAUCCGUAGCUGGUCUGAGAGGAUGAUCAGCCACACUGGAACUGGGACACGGUCCAGACUCCUACGGGAGGCAGCAGUGGGGAAUAUUGGACAAUGGGCGCAAGCCUGAUCCAGCAAUACCGCGUGGGUGAAGAAGGCCUUCGGGUUGUAAAGCCCUUUUGUUGGGAAAGAAAAGCAGCAGGUUAAUACCCCGCUGUUCUGACGGUACCCAAAGAAUAAGCACCGGCUAACUUCGUG